AGUUUGAUCCUGGCUCAAGAUGAACGCUAGCGGCAGGCCUAACACAUGCAAGUCGAGGGGUACAGUUAGCUUGCUAACUUGAGACCGGCGCACGGGUGCGUAACGCGUAUGCAAUCUACCUUAUACUGAGGGAUACCCCGGAGAAAUCCGGAUUAAUACCUUAUAGUAUAUUAAAGUGGCAUCAUCUUGAUAUUAAAGGAUUUAUAGGUAUAAGAUGAGCAUGCGUCCCAUUAGUUAGUUGGUGUGGUAACGGCACACCAAGACCAUGAUGGGUAUGGGUCCUGACAGGGAGAUCCCCCACACUGGUACUGAUACACGGACCAUACUCCUACGGGAGGCAGCAAUGAGGAAUAUUGGUCAAUGGACGCAACUCUGAACCAACCAUGCCGCGUGCAGGAUGACGGUCCUAUGGAUUGUAAACUGCUUGUGUACAGGAAGAAAAAGAGUUACGUGUAGCUUAUCGACGGUACUGUAAGAAUAAGGAUCGGCUAACUCCGUGCCAGCAGCCGCGGUAAUACGGAGGAUCCAAGCGUUAUCCGGAAUCAUUGGGUUUAAAGGGUCCGUAAGCGGCCUUAUAAGUCAGCGGUGAAAGUAUUUGGCUUAACCAAAAAAUUGCCGAUGAUACUGUACGGCUUGAAUUUUUGUGAACUAACUAGAAUAUGUAGUGUAGCGGUGAAAUGCUUAGAUAUUACAUGGAAUACCAAUUGCGAAGGCAGGUUACUCACAAACGAUUGACGCUGAUGGACGAAAGCGUGGGUAGCGAACAGGAUUAGAUACUCUGGUAGUCCACGCCGUAAACGAUGGAUACUAGUUGCUGGAUUUUCGGAUUCAGUGACUAAGCGAAAGUGAUAAGUAUCCCACCUGGGGAGUACGGUCGCAAGACUGAAACUCAAAGGAAUUGACGGGGGCCCGCACAAGCGGUGGAGCAUGUGGUUUAAUUCGAUGAUACGCGAGGAACCUUACCAGGGCUUAAAUGUAGAUUGACAGGCGUGGAAACAUGCUUUUCUUCGGACAAUUUACAAGGUGCUGCAUGGUUGUCGUCAGCUCGUGCCGUGAGGUGUCAGGUUAAGUCAUAUAACGAGCGCAACCCCUGUUGUUAGUUGCCAGCGAGUCAUGUCGGGAACUCUAACAAGACUGCCAGUGUAAACUGUGAGGAAGGUGGGGAUGACGUCAAAUCAUCACGGCCCUUACGUCAUGGGCCACACACGUGAUACAAUGGACGGUACAGAGAGCAGAUACCUAGUGAUAGGAUGCGAAUGUUCAAAACCGUUCUCAGUUCGGAUCGGAGUCUGCAAUUAGACUCCGUGAAGCUGGAAUCGCUAGUAAUCGGAUAUCAGCCAUGAUCCGGUGAAUACGUUCCCGGGCCUGUACACACCGCCCGUC
rnacentral:rRNA from 1 species